rnacentral:misc_RNA from 1 species
CACAAGGGUGGAUGAUGUGGAUUAAUUCGAUGCAACGCGAAAAACCUUACCUACCCUUGACAUGUCUGGAAUCCCGAAGAGAUUUGGGAGUGCUCGCAAGAGAACCGGAACACAGGUGCUGCAUGGCUGUCGUCAGCUCGUGUCGUGAGAUGUUGGGUUAAGUCCCGCAACGAGCAACCCCUUGUCAUUAGUUGCUACGAAAGGGCACUCUAAUGAGACUGCCGGUGACAAACCGGAGGAAGGUGGAUGACGUCAAGUCCUCAUGGCCCUGCAGGGUAGGGCUUCACACGUCAUACAAUGGUCGGGACAGAGGGUCGCCAACCCGCGAGGGGGAGCCAAUCCCAGAAACCCGAUCGUAGUCCGGAUCGCAGUCUGCAACUCGACUGCGUGAAGUCGGAAUCGCUAGUAAUCGCGAUCGGCGCCGCAGUGAAUACGUUCCCGGCUUUCCUGUACACACCGCCCGUCACACCAUGGGAGUGGGUUUUACCAGAAGUAGUUAGCCUAACCGUAAGGAGGGCGAUUACCACGGUAGGAUUCAUGACUGGGGUGAAGUCGUAACAAGGUAG